rnacentral:rRNA from 1 species
GCGCCUUGCGGCGUGCUACAAUGCAGUCGCACGGUGAAGCUCAGCUUGCUGGGUGGAUCAGUGGCGAACGGGUGAGUAACACGUGAGCAAUCUGCCCCUGACUCUGGGAUAAGCGCUGGAAACGGCGUCUAAUACUGGAUACGAACCGUGGAGGCAUCUUCAACGGUUGGAAAGAUUUUUUGGUCAGGGAUGAGCUCGCGGCCUAUCAGCUUGUUGGUGAGGUAAUGGCUCACCAAGGCGUCGACGGGUAGCCGGCCUGAGAGGGUGACCGGCCACACUGGGACUGAGACACGGCCCAGACACAUACGGGAGGCAGCAGUGGGGAAUAUUGCACAAUGGGCGAAAGCCUGAUGCAGCAACGCCGCGUGAGGGAUGACGGCCUUCGGGUUGUAAACCUCUUUUAGCAGGGAAGAAGCGAAAGUGACGGUACCUGCAGAAAAAGCGCCGGCUAACUACGUGCCAGCAGCCGCGGUAAUACGUAGGGCGCAAGCGUUAUCCGGAAUUAUUGGGCGUAAAGAGCUCGUAGGCGGUUUGUCGCGUCUGCUGUGAAAUCCCGAGGCUCAACUUCGGGUCUGCAGUGGGUACGGGCAGACUAGAGUGCGGUAGGGGAGAUUGGAAUUCCUGGUGUAGCGGUGGAAUGCGCAGAUAUCAGGAGGAACACCGAUGGCGAAGGCAGAUCUCUGGGCCGUAACUGACGCUGAGGAGCGAAAGGGUGGGGAGCAAACAGGCUUAGAUACCCUGGUAGUCCACCCCGUAAACGUUGGGAACUAGUUGUGGGGUCCAUUCCACGGAUUCCGUGACGCAGCUAACGCAUUAAGUUCCCCGCCUGGGGAGUACGGCCGCAAGGCUAAAACUCAAAGGAAUUGACGGGGACCCGCACAAGCGGCGGAGCAUGCGGAUUAAUUCGAUGCAACGCGAAGAACCUUACCAAGGCUUGACAUAUACGAGAACGCUGCAGAAAUGUAGAACUCUUUGGACACUCGUAAACAGGUGGUGCAUGGUUGUCGUCAGCUCGUGUCGUGAGAUGUUGGGUUAAGUCCCGCAACGAGCGCAACCCUCGUUCUAUGUUGCCAGCACGUAAUGGUGGGAACUCAUGGGAUACUGCCGGGGUCAACUCGGAGGAAGGUGGGGAUGACGUCAAAUCAUCAUGCCCCUUAUGUCUUGGGCUUCACGCAUGCUACAAUGGCCGGUACAAAGGGCUGCAAUACCGUGAGGUGGAGCGAAUCCCAAAAAGCCGGUCCCAGUUCGGAUUGAGGUCUGCAACUCGACCUCAUGAAGUCGGAGUCGCUAGUAAUCGCAGAUCAGCAACGCUGCGGUGAAUACGUUCCCGGGUCUUGUACACACCGCCCGUCAAGUCAUGAAAGUCGGUAACACCUGAAGCCGGUGGCCCAACCCUUGUGGAGGGAGCCGUCGAAGGGGUCGCGCACCCCGCAAGAGACACACGUGC